AACCAUUCUCACCUGCGGCUAGACCUGCGGAGGGAUCAUUAAAGAUGAUGAUGCCCUUUUUAGGGAACUCCUCCCGGCAUUGCUGGGUGCACUCAUCUCUCCUUGUGAACAGACCUAUUGCUUUGGUAGCAUCCUACCAGUUGGGUUGUUAGCCUACCUCUAGCCUACAAUAAAAUCCUUAUGAUAUUCUGUGAGGUGUCUGAAAAGAAGCAAAUUUUCAUGAAAACUUUUAGCAACGGA
rnacentral:misc_RNA from 1 species